CCAUGAUUGGCUGAGAUAAUGAGUGGGCUGGACAUGCCGAGAUGAGUUUCAGAUUGUUCUGCGGAGUAGCAUCUUUUGCCUAUAAAAUGAGCUGCUCGUUAUGUGUAGAUAAUCCUUUCUACUGCAGUUUUUUCUAAAGAUAUAACGUUAGCCAUGGAGAAGUGCAAAUAUGUUGCUACUGCUCUCAAUAACAUUGCUGCUCUGAAUUUAUCAGGCACUACCGACAAAGGUCAGUGGGAAAAAUUUGUGAUGGACUACUUUCUGGAGGACGAUCGUGCCAUGAUGACUCUCUCUGACUCUAAAAAUGAAUCAGACCAUGAGGAAAUCCCUGAUUUAGCUUGAAGACAUUGUAGAGUCUUCUGAUGACGGUGAUGGGGAAGAAACGGCGAUCAACAGUGAUGUUGUCAUGGAAGAAGUUGACAGAGUCUUGAAAUCAGUGGAACACAACGGGCCAAACAAGCUGUGCAAACUAAAAAGAAACGACACAGGAUAUCUUAUUUAAUGAGAGGGUUGCAGUCUGCCGUGAAGCUUUCAUCCAUGUAUAAGGCAUCGGUAGAACACGCAUGACUCUCCUCCACCAGUCAUACAAGGAGAAUGGUCUAAUGCCUCCCACCAAAAAGACAGCUGGCCCAAGCAAGCAAAGGCAGUAGCGCAGUCAUCAACUACAUGCACCAUUUCCUCACCAACUACGGAGUUGGGGAAACACAUGUGGACCCGAGUUGUGAUAACUGCAGUGGCCAAAACAAGAACAAGUUUGUGCUCUGGUUUUGUCCUUGGCAGACCAUGCACAAGCUCACCACAGUCUGGAUACAGGACACAGGCCAUAGGCCACACCAAGUUUGCCCCCGACUGGUGCUUCGGCCUCAUCAAGCAGCGCUUCAGAAAGACCAGAGUGAACACUGUCUGAGAUUGCUGGUGUUGGGAAGGACAACACUGUGACAGGGGUCAACAUCCCACAGCUGGUUGGACUGAAGGAUGGUACAGUGCUGGUGGAAAGCUAAGACUGACAACACCUGACUCCGUCCACAGAUCAAGCAGUACCAGCACUUCAGCUACGAUGCUCUGGAGCCUGGUGUUGUUGUCGCCAAGCAGAGUUCGGACUGUCAGGACCAGGUUUCAGCUGCUGUGCAAUGCUGACAUCCUCUCAUAGAUGGUCUGCCUGUACAAGCACCACCUGGACUGGACACAGCUAGACAAAUGUAACUUUUUGAGAAGAUCAGGGAGUUUUGCGACGAAGAGGCUAUGGACAUCACAUGCCCUGCACCAAAGUCAAGGAAACAGGCUCUCCGAAUAUAGAUUCCCUUGUUCAUGCGUGGUUCGGACGGACCAGUCAUCAGCACCAUCUGCAGUGCCUCUAUUCAAAUUACUCUCUCCUAACACACAUGCCAUACCUUGCUGCUACUUCAUUUCUAUCCUGCUGCUCAGCCACUUUACCCCUGAUUGUAUCCAUAUAACUUCCUCGUCUAUCACUGAUAUCGUUAUUGAUAUUUUUCUUCUACAUACUGUAUAUUAUUCUGACACUAUCUAUUUCUGAUAUUGCUACUAUGCAAGUAACCAUUUGGCUGUACCGUUUACACCUUCUGUAGAGACCCAUCCACUUAGCAAGACUUAGCAAAAUAUUUAUAUAUAAAAAUGAAUAUUGAUGUGUGGUCGUAACAUGAUUUGACCGUAUCAAGUGUCCACCACAUAAAUAUUUGCCGCAUGCAUCUGUUUAUGUACUGUACAUGUGCACCGCACUCAGGUUUCAACUCAGGUUGCAUGGCCUUAACCUAUGCAUGGAAUACUAUGUGAUAAGUGUGUGUGUAACAGUAUAUAAAGUAUGCUAAUGCACUGUUGUGAAGGCAUUUGGGCAGUGGUCAAAAGUACUUUAAUAAUUUUAAUAAUUUUAAGUAGUACUUAAGUAUUUUCGGGGGGUAUCUGUACAUUACUUUCCUAUUUAUAUUUUUUGGCAACUUUUCCUUCACUACAUUCCGAAAAACAAUGUACUUUUUACUCAAUACAUUUUCAAUGACACCCAAAAGUACUCGUUAUAUUUUGACAGGGAAAUUGUCCAAUUCACACACUUAUCAAGAGAACAUCCCUACUGCAUCUGAUCUGGCAGACUCACUAAACACAAAUGCUUUGUUUGUAAAUUCUGAGUGUUGGAGUGUGCCCCUGGCUAUGCGUUAAUUUAAAAAAAUAGAAAAAAAUAGUGCCAUCUGGUUUAAUAUAAGGAAUUUGAAAUGAUUAAUACUUGUACUCAGAUAUGACAAUUUAGUACUUUUCCACCACUGGCUGAGGGUAAUAGCAUUUCUUUCCCAUGACACAUCAAUUUACACAAGGGUGUCAUGGUAAGCGUCAUCUAAUAUUGAUAAAAUAUUUUUAUCUGGACACUUUCUGUUUACCUGCAAUUUUUCCUUAUUGUAGGCUACUACCACUUUUAGUCUUAAUCUUUACUACACUACUCACUGUUUAGCACAUGACCUCAUGUGAAUCCUUAAAGAGAUGGGUGUGGCUGGCUUAAGAGGGUGUGAACAAAUCCUGAAUGUGUGUAGACAAAGGAGAGCUCUCCAGUAGGUACCAAAACUUUUCUCAAAAGUGAGUUUACAAGUGUAUCAACUUUCAAAGCAGAAUUACUUUCACAUAGUUCCUCAAAAAUGCUGUGUAUGAUAUACCAUUUUGUAGCUCUGAGUCUCAACUUGUAUCCAAUGUAAAAAAAACUAUUUCAAAUUUUGCUACAUAAGACCGAAUCCAGGUGGUGAGUCACAUUUUUCUGUCUGUAAUUGGUGCCAAGGACCUGAAGUCAACAGUGUGUCGGAUGCUAUCUUACAUUCUUUAAAACCAUCGCCACAACCUGGACUGGGGGAUAAGGCCUGUUUCAGGGACUUAUUUCUGAAGACUAUUCUUCACAUUAAGUUUUGAUAUUUCUAAAUGUGUUACACUUGUUUCUCUGCUUUUAUGUAAAUUCUCAACCUCAUGUGUAAUACCAUGUGCGAUUCAAAUGUAACUCAAUGUUCUUUCUUUGUGUAUAGGACCCAUUCGGAGGAACCCUGCAAAACUGUAUGCCACGGGUGAGUUGGUCCAAAUUCAGGUCACCCUUUGGUGGGAGGCGGCAGUAGGCGGGGACACAUGGGGAUGGAUCAAAUCUCGUACCACCUGUCUCAAAGCCAGCCUCUACCUCCAAGCCACAAGACUGUUCCAGCAGCUGAAUCCAGGCUGACUACUGCACUCUACCCCACACGUACCAUUUAUUCAAUUCUGUACACACUGAAAUUACUUUUGUCUACUGGAACAAUGCAAUAGUUAUGUCACCUUACUGCACUACUAAUGUAUAUACUUUCAUAUAAUUCUAUGCUGCUAAUGCACUGUACCUUAUUCCAUUCAAUGUCCAUGCUACAUCACUAUGGGCAAUUUUUUAAAAUCUUAUUUUCAUUUAUCUUAUUUUCUUUUGUUUCUGACUGUCGCACGGCUGCCGCUUGACAAAGUGGCCUAUCUCGGGCACCCAGUGAAUGAAGCCGAUGGGCAAAUAAGCUGUCGCAUUGCGCUCAACGACUAUCGAGGGACACCAGCAUCAUUGCUAACCGGGGACUUGUUUGUGUGACCAACAUGGACUGUUUCUUUUUUUCUCUCCAUUGGCAUGUGCCAUUAACAGUGCCUAUAUAGCACUAGAAAAAGCAAUCUCUUGCUGUCACACCCUGAUCUGUUUCACCUGUCUUUGUGCUUGUCUCCACCCCCUCCAGGUGUCGACCAUCUUCCUCAUUACCCCCAGUGUAUUUAUACCUGUGUUCUCUGUUUGUCUGUUGCCAGUUCGUCUUGUCAGGUCUUACCAGCUUGUAUUCCUGGCUCCCUACUUUCUUAAGUUCUGUUUUCCCCGGUUCUGACCAGAAUGGCCUGCCCUGACCCCGAGCCUGCCUGCCGUUCUGUACCUGCCUGAUUCUGACCCGUUUACAAACCUCUGCCUGUCCUGACCCCGAGCCUACCUGCUGUUCUGUACCUUUUUGACUCUGUCCUGGAUUACGGACCUCUGCCUGCCUUUGACCUGUCUUUUGCCUGCCCCCUGUUUGGGUCAAUAAAAAUCUGUGACUCUA